GGAGUGGGCCAAGCGUCCGCGGUCGCCGUGAGGCGGCUGAGGAAAGUCUGAGCUCCGAAGGGCAGGGCGCUGGGUAACACCCAGGCGGGGCGACCCGACGGAAAGUGGCACAGAAACGACACCGCCCGCCGCGAGGUGGGCAAGGGUGAAAUGGUGCGGUAAGAGCGCACCAGCUGUGUGGAGACACAUAGGCUGGCCAAACCCCGCCCGGAGCAAGGCCAAAUAGGGGGCGACCCGCCUUCGUCCGCUGCGGCGGACUAUAGCGGACGGUGUUGGCCCGACACCGUAUCAGCCCGGGUUGGCCGCAUGAGGCUGCGGGCGACCGCAGUCCUAGAUAGAUGGACGCUCGCGACAGAACUCGGCUUACCGGCCCACUCCACUC
rnacentral:RNase_P_RNA from 1 species